rnacentral:rRNA from 1 species
AAACUUUCAACAACGGAUCUCUUGGUUCUGGCAUCGAUGAAGAACGCAGCGAAAUGCGAUAAGUAAUGUGAAUUGCAGAAUUCAGUGAAUCAUCGAAUCUUUGAACGCACAUUGCGCCCUCUGGUAUUCCGGGGGGCAUGCCUGUUCGAGCGUCAUCA